UGCGCAGGCGGUUCUGCAAGUCAGGCGUGAAAUCCCCGGGCUUAACCUGGGAAUGGCGCUUGAAACUACGGGACUGGAGUAUGGCAGAGGGAGGUGGAAUUCCACGUGUAGCGGUGAAAUGCGUAGAGAUGUGGAGGAACACCGAUGGCGAAGGCAGCCUCCUGGGCCAAUACUGACGCUCAUGACAAAGCUGGGGAGCAAACA
rnacentral:rRNA from 1 species